rnacentral:rRNA from 1 species
CCUACGGGAGGCUGCAGUGAGGAAUAUUGGUCAAUGGCCGAGAGGCUGAACCAGCCAAGUCGCGUGAGGGAAGACGGCCCUACGGGUUGUAAACCUCUUUUGUCGGGGAGCCAAGCGAGUCACGUGUGACUCAUUGAGAGUACCCGACGAAAAAGCAUCGGCUAACUCCGUGCCAGCAGCCGCGGUAAUACGGAGGAUGCGAGCGUUAUCCGGAUUUAUUGGGUUUAAAGGGUGCGCAGGCGGAGGUGCAAGUCAGCGGUCAAAUUGCGGGGCUCAACCCCGUACUGCCGUUGAAACUGCAGCCCUUGAGUGCGCGAGAAGUAUGCGGAAUGCGUGGUGUAGCGGUGAAAUGCAUAGAUAUCACGCAGAACUCCGAUUGCGAAGGCAGCAUACCGGCGCGCAACUGACGCUCAUGCACGAAAGCGUGGGUAUCGAACAGGAUUAGAUACCCCAGUAGUC